UACGAAGGGGGCUAGCGUUGCUCGGAAUCACUGGGCGUAAGGGGCGCGUAGGCGGGAAUGUAAGUCGGGCGUGAAAUCCCUAGGCUCAACCUAGGAACUGCACUCGAAACUGCGUUUCUUGAGUAUCGGAGAGGAAAGCGGAAUUCCUGGUGUAGAGGUGAAAUUCGUAGAUAUCAGGAGGAACACCAGUGGCGAAGGCGGCUUUCUGG
rnacentral:rRNA from 1 species